CGCAGCUGCAGGCAAUUUCCAAAUCAACCACCUGUUUUCUGUGGCUGGUCAGCACAGCUUCAUAAGCUGUGGCUGCUCUCUGUUUGGCGCUGGAUAGUUAAGUCUAGUCAUGUGAACCACUCUGCGCUACGGACUCUCAGUGGCACCUGCUGACGCCACUCUCCACCUGCCGUCACUAGUCCUGCAUGCUUCGCCUCUCUGCCUGUGUCCUCAAUUUGCUCUGUCAUCUGAGAGGAUUUUCCCACCUGUCCAUUCUGCUACCUUGUCUGGAUUCAGCAAUAAACGUAAAUGUGUAAAACUUC